AUGCACAACCUCCCGGCUCAUCUCCAACAUGCUGACCUCUUAGCAGAUGAUCGAGAACCCUACCAGGCCUGUUCCUUAAGUGCCCUUAAAAGCUCCAUCGUGGAUAUGGACCUCAGCCUCAUCCAUCUCUCCCAGCGAUCCCGUCAGCUCCAGAAUCCUAUUGGCUCCCAAUCCACCCAGCAGCUCAGUCUCUCUCAGCAGUCCAGACACCGGUCCUCCAGUGAGUCCAGAAUCACCAGCACAAAAGAAGCAGUGUGUUUCCGGACCACCUCAGACUGGGUGGGUCACUGUAAGCUAGGCAGCUGGUGGAAACAGGCGCUGGAAACUCGACGGGCUUCAACCGGGCUGCUUCCUGCUUUAGAGCAAGUUUCUCCUGUCACACGAGCUUCCUCUACAGAAAAACGGACAUCCCCUGUCCCACGACGUCCCCAACCUCAUGGGCUUGGAAGCUUCUUAGAUCCUCCAUCCUGCCCAAGAGUGGAAAAACGAGAGGUCAAACAAGCAGUGAAAGAUGAAUUAACAGGCCGGAGAGGAUCUCUUAAAGUGACCAUUAAUCAGAUUGAUCAUGGACCAACUUCACAUCAAGGCCAUCGAGGAAAAAUGAGGAAACAAAUCAAACGAGCUUAAAAGAAAAAAAACAAAAUGCUGUUUGCAUAUGUAGGGGACAGAGUGAGUGUUGUAACAUGGUGAGUUGUAAUAAUCAGUUUAACAUAUUACACAUUAAUUAAAGGGGUGAAAUCAUUGUCAUACGUAAAUAUUUAGUUGAUCAAAAUAUCACAAUAAAGUCAUGUACAAAACUUAAACUGAUGGGAAAAAAAUGUAUGCUUGCAUAAUAGACAACCAC
rnacentral:lncRNA from 1 species